rnacentral:rRNA from 1 species
GUGCCUGAACUCAAGCAAGAUUACCCGCUGAACUUAAGCAUAUUACUAAGCGGAGGAAAAGAAACUAACAAGGAUUGUCU